UACGUAGGGUGCAAGCGUUGUCCGGAAUUAUUGGGCGUAAAGAGCUCGUAGGCGGUUUGUUGCGUCGGCUGUGAAAUCCCGAGGCUCAACCUCGGGUCUGCAGUCGAUACGAGCAAACUAGAGUGUUGCAGGGGAGACUGGAAUUCCUGGUGAUAGCGGUGAAAUGCGCAGAUAUCAGGAGGAACACCGGUGGCGAAGGCGGGUCUCUGGGCAACACUGACGCUGGAGGAGCGAAAGCGUCGGGGAGC
rnacentral:rRNA from 1 species